GGGAAGGGGAAAGACAUAGAUGGUGAGCACACCGUGUCAGAGAAGGAAACCAGGCCGUCUAAGAACAUCCAAAUGCCCUGAUUGACAAGGAAGAGCAGAAGCCCACACCUCCUGACCUGCAUGCAUUCCAUAGUUCAGUCUGGUGUCAGCAUCUACUGUCCAGUGGCUUCCUGCUCUGCACCAGGCGCCUGCCCUCUGCUCACAUUCCAGCACCUUCUCUGCCUGAGUGUCAAGCAAGAGGAGCUGGCUUCAGUGGCUCCUGAGAAUAAACUCAGGUUUAACCAACUUGAUACCUGUUUUUAUUGUGGCAACCUGUAACCUAGAUGUGUCUCUAUAAAGCCACCCAAUUUAAAGGUGGAUUUGUCAUUGCUCUUGUCAAUUUAAUAAAAUUAACAAUUGAGGCUC
rnacentral:lncRNA from 1 species